rnacentral:lncRNA from 1 species
ACUGAGUGUUUUUCAUAUUUCUAGUGCUGUCUUUGUGGUUGCAGGCCUUUUUGCUAGUUGUUUGCAUGAUUUGGAUCACUGAUUAGACCUAAUAGAACCUUGCACUAGAAUGUAUCUUCUAAUUAUUCUUGUGUGAGGAAAUGGGCUUUUUAGUCUUUCCUGGGUUAUCAUUUGUUCCUUCCACCACAAUUACUCAUUUCAGAACUGCAUUUUAUACCUUGCCAGCGAAUUGGAUCACAACAGGUUGCUCAUGAGUUUUUGCUUACAUGUGUAGUAGGAGACUAGGAGCUCAAGUAGGUACAAGGUUGAGCUUUAAGCUAUGUAUAAUUAUAGACCU